CCAUCUACGAUGUUCCAUCUCCCCCUCAAUUCUCUGUUUAAACCGAUGAAGACCCAUUUGCUGAAUACACUUUUUUCCUAGUCAAAGACGUCGUCUAUGGUGCUCAACACAGUUAGAAACAACUCACAUUGGAGAUACAAAAUGGAUGACCCUUCGCGUAUUCCAUCCACUGCCUCAAAGAGACGACAUUGUGCAUUAACAAAUCCUGCUCGUGGCCGAGGUCAAGGUUGAGGUCGAGAUCAGGGUCAGGGUAGAGGUCGGGGUGAUGAUAUUGUGUUGGAGGAAGCACUUCAAAUCUUGGAAGAGGAUGUGAUUGAUAAUGGUUCAGGGGAUGAUGAUGAUGCUGCUGAUGUUGAUUAGGCUGAGAAGGUACUCACUGGUUCGUUUCCCGGGGGGCCAUCAGAUCCAUCAGUACUGAAAAGCUUCAAGGCACAUAUUACAGCAACUAUAUGGGAGCAAAAGGAAAGAAAUCCCUUUAGGUGUUAUAAUCAUGCGUCCAAGAUUCUUGAAUGGCGGUGGUGGUCAAGAACCGACAAUAGAAGGUUUAGAGACAUUGUGCAACAGUUAGGCCUAUCUUCUUUGGUCCAUUGCACAUAUCAAUUCGUGAAUAGGAUUGUCAUAUCUAUAUUUGUUGAGCGAUGGCAACAGAGACAAAUACUUUCCAUUUGACAGUUGGUGAGACGACAAUGACAUUGGAUGAUAUGGGUACCAUCUUGGGGAUCCCCAUCACAGGUAGAUCAGUUUGUGCUGCAACUUUGACAGAUUAACAGGCACAAGUAGGGGUGUUCGCGGAUCGGUUUUGUGCGGUUUGCGGUUCGGUUUUGACCCGCCUGCAUCUAUGCGGUUUGGGAAAAAGUCAACCCACAACUGCCCGCAGUGCGGUUUGCGGUUUGU